rnacentral:rRNA from 1 species
UACGUAGGGGGCAAGCGUUGUCCGGAAUCAUUGGGCGUAAAGCGCGUGUAGGCGGUUCGGUAAGUCUGCUGUGAAAGUCCAGGGCUCAACCCUGGGAUGCCGGUGGAUACUGUCGGACUAGAGUACGGAAGAGGCGAGUGGAAUUCUCGGUGUAGAGGUGAAAUUCGUAGAUAUCGAGAGGAACACCGGUGGCGAAGGCGGCGAUCUGGACGAUGACUGACGCUGAGACGCGAAAGCGUGGGGAGCAAACAGG